rnacentral:rRNA from 1 species
UACGUAGGUGGCGAGCGUUGUCCGGAUUUACUGGGCGUAAAGGGAGCGUAGGCGGACUUUUAAGUGAGAUGUGAAAUACCCGGGCUCAACUUGGGUGCUGCAUUUCAAACUGGAAGUCUAGAGUGCAGGAGAGGAGAAUGGAAUUCCUAGUGUAGCGGCGAAAUGCGUAGAGAUUAGGAAGAACACCAGUGGCGAAGGCGAUUCUCUGGACUGUAACUGACGCUGAGGCUCGAAAGCGUGGCGAGCAAACAGGAUUAGAUA